GUCCUAGCCGUAAACGAUGGACACUGAGUGGAGGAGGGCUUGCCUUUCUCUGCUGCAGCUAACGCGUUAAGUGUCCCGCCUGGGGAGUACGGCCGCAAGGUUAAAACUCAAAGGAAUUGACGGGGCUCGCACAAGCGGUGGAGCAUGUGGUUCAAUUCGAUGCAACGCGAAGAACCUUACCCGGGCUUGAAGUGGAGGUGGUAGGAACCGGAAACGGUAACGACCCCGCAAGGGGAGCCUUCAUCAGGUGUUGCAUGGCUGUCGU
rnacentral:rRNA from 1 species